UUGGACUUUUAAGUAUUUUUUUACUGAAGUCGGAGGCAAAGCCGUGUGUUUGGUUUGCGGGGAGGAGAUUGCCGUGUUUAAAGAGCAAGUAACGUCUAAAUUAACUUUUUUUUGCUGAUGAACUGUAUAAAUGAGUGUCUAUUAGUGUUUUAAAUGUGUGCAUUCUUUAUUUUAGCAUUUUGGUGCAUUUUCUUUAAAAAUUAAAAAUUCUGUCUAAAAACCACAGUAAUGUGCCACCUUCAGCUGAAAACAUAGAAUUUGAGUCAUUUUGAAUAAAUUUUAGCCAAUGGCUAAAGAGUAAAGUACUACGUAAACCAGUAGAGUACUACGUAGCAGCUCCGUGCCAAAGUUAUAAAAGCAACGAGCGUCUCGGCCACGCCCUGUGGCGAGUGGGAGUUGGAUUUGCAAGCGAGUGUAGGAGGUCAGCGGUAGUUCAGCAUUAGCAUAUAGCAUUAGCAUAUCCUAGUCUUAGCAUAUCUUUUAGUGUUAUAAAUACUUAUUUAGUGUUAGAUUUGGCUGUUGGAUAUUGUAGUUGAGUUAGUGUUUGGCUGUUAGUGUAAUUGGGAAAGUAUUUCGGGUUUAGUGCUCCAUAUCGUCUUAGUAUUGGUGAGUAGGUGUAGUGUAGUAUGCUUGCGGUGACUCUGUGGGCAUUUUACCCGCGAUUCUGCACGUCUCUGUUUGAAGAGGGAGGGUGUGCCCACCGUGGCUCUUCCGCGAUUUAGAUGCAGCCCACCGACUCUGCUCCCCCACCACGGCGGGCUCCAGUCUGAGGUGAGUACGCUAAAUAAACGUUUUAACAUCUUCUAAAGACAAUUCCCUACCUAAAUGCAAAGUCUGAGAGACGUGGUUCACUUCCUUUAGCUAGUCAGUCGGCAAUUCUGCAACAGUUUCUCUAACUGACGCAGCACUUGACAGACAGCAUUACAGCGUGAAAUCCAGCUUGUGAACAGGUUCUGUGAGGAAUUCUGUUCAGGAGGUCUCCUUUCAGGCUCUCCACAUCAUAUGUGACUGACUUUUACGUUAUAAUGAUCACACACUAGGAAUGUUAUAAAGCGCCUAUAUGGGACAGUUUCUUUUGUAUAUUAUCUGACUUUAUAAACUCCCAACAACAAUGUGCUUAUAUAUUUUUUUCAGGCUAAAUCUACCCAAGACACUGGCUGUCAGACUGAUUUAGCUGCAAGAAUGCACUUGUCCAGGCUGACGUGAAACCUUCCCUGUAGCAAAGCCAGCCAGAAUGGAGUUCACAGCCGCAGUGUGUCUGGUGACCCACAGGGACCAUGAUGAAAAUUCAUCUUCCAGAAGGUCCCAGAGCAGCGGCCACACCCCCUGAAAAGACCAAGGUGUGAGGUGUCUGCUGUUGAUUCCAGCUUCCACCUCAGUGACAGUGCAAGCUCAGUGAACUGUUCAAGGACACUCAGCAAAAUAUGGACUCUACACCAUGAGGCAGGUACACGUUAAUAACUCUAUAAGAGCACAUAAGCCUGGCUGAUCACCUGAUAACUCCUGUCAUCUGGUCGUGACAGCAUGAGGAUGUCCUCACACACCUGUAACCUAUCAGCUCAUCUGGCAGAAUAGAGAGAGAAGAGACAACACCACAUCUCCUGUUCCUGGAAAGCCUUCAGCCAUCCUUUGAUGACUGAGAACCUCCAUCAGCUCUGUCUCCUGUCUGCCUACAAUUAUAAUAAAUAUUGUGUUUGACACGUUUUUUUGUGCUGCCAAAUAUCUCAUAGAUUCCAGUUUUGAUAUUUUAAUGGAUAUUUAUAAAUUACAUUAAUUGAAUUAUCACAAUGCAUGUUUAACUAGCUCUGUUGUGAUGAAUUAAACUAGCACAUCACUGUUAAAAGCUCAUUUUAAUUUCAAGCAUGUUUAAGUAUUUAUGGACAUGAACAAAAACAGGAAAUAUAUAAAUUGAGAUUUAUUUAAUUAAUAUAACAAAUAAGGGGGAAAGAGUCAUUGAAAGGCACAUUCUUCUGGAAGCUCCUGAUCCUGACGACACCAGCAGAGACCACCUGCAGACACCAGAGGCCAGCUGCAGACACCAGAGGACCUAGAACCAAGAGAGCAGCUGUUAUCAGUAAAUAAAUAAAUCAGGGCAGUUUUAGUGAGCUGAACACAUUACAGAAUAAUUUUCUCAUGGGGUAUUUUCAUAACUUUAUGCAGCAGACUGUAACUUGAGCCCAGAGCUACCGGAGAGCUGCUAUCCAGCAUGUUUCAGUGGAUUUUCCUGCUUUAACAGGUUAGAUUAACUGUUAAGCAGCUCAGCUAUUUGUUGUUGAUUAAAACCAGGUGUGCUGAAGCAGAUAAACCUCUAAAACAUGCUGACUAGCUCUAGGGCCGUGGAGACAAACCCUGCAGCUAAUCCAAUGCUAUGGCUAACGGCUACUUACGUUCAGAGGUGGUUCUGUUGGGUCGGUUCUGGUAGUUACAGGCAACUCACAAGCUCACAACAAUAAGGCUCAGGUCCGCUUGUCUCCUCCAAAUAGACUUGGUCCCUUUCUUCUCGACUGUCUGGGUAAGGAGGGGGAGAAACAUCCUCCACUUCUAAUAACUGCUCAGAGUGAAGGGAGAUAGCAUCGUCUAGUUAGCCGUCGUCUUCGUCACUGCCGCGGCUCCGCCCUCUCAGUCCUCCAGGCAACGCCUACUAAUGUUGCAUUUUUUAAAAUUGAUAUGUGGGUGGAGAAGGACUCCGAGGCUCAAUUGACCCGCUCUUUAAGGACUACAAUUUGAGUCGGCAUUACGACAAGAAACACUCGGAAAAAUACAAGAACUUGUCUGAUGCUGAGAGGGCACGGACAUCCGAAGCUUUGCUAGCAAAGUUGCAAAAGCAACAAGGCUUUUUUUUACUAAGCUUCACACAUCCAGGGAUGCAGCAACCAGGACCAGCUUUGUGAUAUCCCACAAAAUAGCCAAAAACAGCAAGCCGUUUUCGGAGGGAGAGUUUGUCAAAGAGUGCAUGGUGGACUCUGCCGCACUAAUAUGCCCUGAAAAAAAGGCGCAUUUGAGCAAAUCCCGCUGUCCAGGUGAACCGUGACCAGGAGGACCGAGGACAUUGUGGGGAACCUGGAGCUUCAGCUGCAACGUGAAGUGGCAAGUUUUGACUUUUUCUCAUUAGACGAGAGCUGUGAUGUCCGGGGGAUAACGGAGCUCACAGAGGAGCUGGCAGCAAUGCGGUCGAUGAAAGGGACAACGACAGGGAGUGAUCUUUUUACAGAGGUAAAUGCGUGCAUGGACUCUCUGGGAUUGAAAUGGGAGAGACUGUCAGGUGUCACAACAGACGGUUGUCCAAAUCUUACAGGGGAAAAUGUCGGACUUUUGAAACGCAUGCAAGAUAAAAGUGACAGAAAUCGAUGCAGAUCAAAAAUUGGUAUUUUUGCAUUGUAUUAUACACCAACAUGUGUUGUGCAAGUCAGUGCUAAAAAUCAAACAUGUUACUGAUGUUGUUACUAAAAUAAUAAACUUCAUCAGGGCGCGGGCAAUGAAUCACAGAAAGUUUGUGGCUCUUUUGGAGGACUCCACACAGCUGUCAGAUGGCUCAGCCUGGGGAAAGUGCUGAAGAGGAUUUGGGACUUGAAAGCAGAGAUUCAGGAUCUCUGCUGGAUUUCUACUCUUCUCUUAAGGAGAACUUUCCAAACCUGAGGAGACAUGCUCAGAAGAUGUUGGUUCUCUUCGGCUCUACCUACAUUUGUGAACAAACACUUUCAAUGAUGACGUUUACAAAAUCCAGGUAUAGAUCCUCUCUCACUGAUGAUCAUUUGUCAGCUGUGCUUCGCAUCUCCACCUCAGACAUUCAACCUGACUUUGAUGCACUCGUUAAAGCCCAGCAGAGACUAGAUUUCUCUCAUUGAAUAAGAAAAAAAUCGCUUAAAAACACAAAAUAAGGUGUUUGGACCACAAAUGUAGACAACUAGCAGUGAACUGGGACACUUUUUUUUUAAACCUCUUUCUCAAGAUCACAGUUCAGUGAUUUUAUUUUACAGACAAUACUGUGUGUCUGUAGAAUGCUAAGAACCUCUUUCCAACAAUAUUUGAAACUCAGAAUGUGUUUUGGAGUGAAUAUGACUGAAAGUGGCCCUUGACCUUCUGUUGGCAUCUGCAGGUGGCCUUAAUGCACAUGAAUGACCUCUUAAGCCAGAUGAAGGCU